rnacentral:rRNA from 1 species
GAUCCUGGCUCAGGACGAACGCUGGCGGCGUGCCUAACACAUGCAAGUCGAGCGGAGACAGUGAGUAGCUUGCUACGAACUGUUUUAGCGGCGGACGGGUGAGUAACGCGUGAGCAACCUUUCCCAGACACGGGGGAAUAACACACCGAAAGGUGUACUAAUACCGCAUAAGACCACGGUUUCACAUGGAACUGNGGUAAAAGAUUAUCGGUUUGGGGUGGGCUCGCGUCCCGAUUAGGUAGUUGGUGAGGUAACGGCCC